GCCAACCUCCUCCCCCUUCCUUCUUUCCUUCCCCCCCCCCCUUCCCGCGCCCUGCCCAAAUAAGGUUUUAUUCGUCGCCGGUGACGUCACGGGGACCCGGGCGUGACGUCACGCGCCCUGCCAUGCGGCGCCGCGCGGGCCUCGAGGGGGACGCGCAGAAGGCUGAGACCAAAGAGGACUUCGUUAAGGUUAGAAGGAGUGAUUUGGAAAGGCUGACAACUGAGGUUAUGCAAUUGCGGGAUUUCUUGCCCAAAAUAUUAAAUGGGGAUAUCUUGUGGACAUUCCAGAAACUGGAUGCUGUUGAGUCAAGCAUGGAGAAAAAGGAGGAGGAACUAGAGCAGUUAAAAAUGGAUUGUGAACACUUCAGAGCCCGCCUGGAAGCAGCCCAGGCAGAUUGCAUGAGAGAGAAGAAGGAGAAACUAGACCUCCGGCAGCACCUGCAUGAGGCUAAGCAGCAGCUCCUGCAGCAAGCAGAGUAUUGCACAGAGAUGGGUGCAGCGGUGUGCACCUUGCUGUGGGGUGUCUCCAGCAACGAGGAAGCUGUUAAAACCAUCCUAGGAGGAAGCAAAGCAGCAAAGUUUUUUACAAUCACUGCACAGACUAUGGAGAGCUUUGUGAAGUCAUUAAGUGAAGACAUGAAACAGCAGGAUUUGGAUUCUGAUGAAAAUCAGUUUGUGUUAGCUUUGGCAGGGAUUGUAACAAAUGUGGCUGCGCUGGCAUGUGGCCGUGAGUUCCUGGUUACUUCAAGUCGUGAAUUGUUGGACACAAUGGUGCACCUCCUGGGAGACAUGAAGCCUGGACUCUGUACCAAAUUCAAAGUGCUAAUGCUGAUGUCACUUUACAACGUGAGCAUCAACUUGAAAGGCUUGAAGUACAUCAGUGAAAGUCCAGGUUUUAUUCCCUUGCUGUGGUGGCUGUUGAACGCCUGAAGGAGUGCAGCUGCAUUUGGAGAGCUGCAGCUUCGCACCGUGCCUGACACAAAGAAGAGCAGAGCCCUCCAUGCGCUUGGAAAUCGUUCAGUAACGAGAAGCUACCGACAGCGAUCGCUUCUCUUCCCAGACGUAGAGCUUCUCUUCUUUUUGUUCCGGUAACGGGUCAUUCCCGCAGAGCGAUUUUCAUUUUCAUUACCGCCCUGUUGCAGCAGAAACUUAAUCUCCCUGAAAGGAGAGGCGCUGAGUAGCAAUGAGUCACCCCGGUUCCCGUAAGGAAGCCCCUUCAGGAAGCCUCUCUAGCAACGAUGUCCCGCACAGCCCUGAGCAGCCGCUGAGCUAUUCAGCCUUAACACUGCUGACAGCGUGUAAUACUGCCCCGGAAACCUUCAGAGAUUGCUUGUCAGACGCAGCCAGGGCCUGCCGGUGCCCAGGCAGCUAAUCGAGAUGCAGACAGGUCUUGGGUGAGGAAGCUGAAGGAAAGGAGGUUCCCUCUUGGCUAUAAAUGGCAAGGGACCAAAAGGUACGGGAGUCAUUUUGUGAGCACCAGUGGCAACCUGGGACACAGUCAGAAAAAAUAGAGACCAUCUCUGGGGAUCGUGAAGCCAGCUGAGAAGCUGAGCUGCUAAAAGUAAUGGUCUAAGUGGCCUAGGGCGGCUUUGGGGACAGCUUGUGAGCAUGGGGGCACAGUGAAACUGGUGUGCAAGUUGCCAAAGAGGAGGCACUGAGCACAGCACUGAGCCUGUAACAAAAGGGGCUCAGUAUCCCAGAAACCUUUGGUCCCUGGGUAACAGACAUUUUUCAGGUGGAAAUAGGGAGACAAUACGUUUGCCAUUAAUUUUUAAUUGUAAUAGAGUAUUCUGUAGUGAUAGGUAGUUUCUGCUGUACAGGCGGCCUGCAGCAUGCAGCAGCCUGCUGGAAACCUGCUCUCUUGUAAGGCUGCUACAGGAAGAACACAGAGGGACUGGAAAACAUUUCUAAGACACUGCUGGAAUGCUGAAAAAAAAAUAUCAUUAUUACACAAAUUAAGCUUUUCUGUUGAAGUGCUGCGAUUAAAUCAUGGUUUUAGGUCUUCAUUUUAGUUUCCUUAGGCUCAAGAGGGUGGUAUAGGUCUCGUGCUCCACUGGUGCUGAGGAAAUGCUGGGGCCUGAGACACAACCCUCCGGGAUGAGGUGGGGUGUAGCUGCUGGGGUGCUCAUUUGGGGCUCAGAAGAGCAGGAUUUGGUACCCUGUGCAGCCACAGGCCUCCUGUGGGCUGAAUUAGCUGAGGAGCUGAGCUUCUGGAGGAGCACUCCUAAUUUCAGAGGGGGCAUGCUGGAGGAUUCAGUCCUCCAAAUUACAUUUCUGCUUUGUUCUCUUUUCAUGUGACUCCCCCUCCUUCAUGCCUUAAUCUGACCGCUGUUAUGUGGGUUGCAGAAGUCCCUGGGAUAAGUAUCCGAAGGGGCUGGUGGGCACCACGGGGCCAUCAUCUCACUUGGUGGCCACAAGUGAGUCACGGUGACUGAGGGCUGUGAGGGCUGCUGAGAGGAUUCAUUGCAAAGUCCUGUGAGACCUUUCCAGCCCAGGAGAUGUUGCUCCUGCCAGGCUGUAGAGGAGUCCAUGGAGAAACAAGGCCCUGGUGCUCUGCUACUGCCUGGCUCGGGGAGCAGCGGUCUGAAUUUGGGCAGUGUGAGCUCUGGGGCCUCGUGCUGUGAAAGCAGGAUGGGGCCACUGAGAGGGGCAGGCCUUGCAUUUCAGGGAGGGCUAAAGCUGGUGUUGCUGCUCUCGCCACCAUGAAUUACAUGAGGGAGAAAUACUCCGCUCCUGUGCUCCUCGCCCCUCCAGAUGGGAGAGCACUAAGAGCCUACAUGAGGAGAGAGGAGGAAACAAAGAAUUAAGCACGGCUUUCUGGACUCUUCCAAGGAAGACAUAAGGGCGAAGGUCGUCCUGGCACUGAGGGGAAGAGAAAAAAAGAAACUAGUUUCCAAGGAUUCAACCCUUCAGCACAGUGACGUAGAAAGAAGGAGAUGCUGUUUGUGGAGCAAGUGAGGAAGGAAAUUAAAGCCCGGGGAACGACAAAGCAGAUCACCAGUGCUUCGGGGCAGGGCUAGGUGGUGGGCCUGCCCCUGGGGGAGCUGUCGACCAGAAGCAGAAGCCACCACCUGCAGCUGCUUCACCCGUGGUGCUGGCACGCUGUCGUCCCCGGGCCGGACCGUGAGGACGUCCAUGUGUGUGCUCCUUCAUCCUCCAGGCCUGGCUCCCUUCCCUCCCCUAGGGGCUGCGGGGCCGGAUGCUUUUUGACUGUUAAAUCCAUUCAUUCUUGAAGGGCUCUGCUUCCUUGGAAAGUAAAAUCAAUUCUCGAGAAGCGGGUGACCUAAGCUUUGGGCUGUGUCUUGGAAACUGGGAAAUGUCCCACGUGCUUUGUUCCUGCUGCUAAGUGGAAGCCCACAGAGGCUGGUUGGGCCUGUGGCAUCAUGCUGGCUGCAGGUCGUGGCACCUCCACACCUUCAGCCAAGCCCAGGAUUACCCUCUCAGCCCCCUUCAACUUGUGGGGUCUCAAAAAAUGUCCUUCCUUCAUUUCACAAGGCAACUUCCCCACACCACAGAGCCUGCUGGUGGCUCGGACGGUGUAUCUAGCGAGCUGACAGCGGGUUAGCUGCAGAGAGGCUGUCCCCGAAGGGCUGUGAAUCCUGUCUUAGCCAAGCAGGCUGGUGCUUCUGCUUCCCUGCAUCAGCAAUGAGCAGUUGCUGCAGAGGAUAGAGCAGAGCUGAGAAAGGAAAACAGCAGCGGCGGUGACCAGAGUGCUGCAUGAAGCCUCCUGGUCUGCCUUGAACUAUUGAUCUGGGCACCAGGAGCUGCCCAGGAUGGGCGGAUGGCCUCAGUCAGCUCCGUGGAUAAUCCUGCAGAGAGGACGGGAGGCAGGCAGAUGAGCAUCAUGGAAAGGCACUCCCAAGCCAUUGCGAAUGCUCUACACCCAGGGUGACGGGGCUCCAAGCGGGGCUUUGCUCUCUUUACGAUGACGUCUGUUUGCUUCUCCCAGGCCCAGUGACUCAAUUUCAACUGAUUUGUACGCCACGGGUUUCAGCCACUCUGUGGUGUGUAUGCAAUUUAAAAUAAAGAGAGACAAAGCAAAGUGAUUAUAAAAAA